UACAGAGGUCUCAAGCGUUGUUCGGAUUCAUUGGGCGUAAAGGGUGCGUAGGUGGCGGGGUAAGUCAGGUGUGAAAUCUCGGAGCUCAACUCCGAAACUGCAUUCGAUACUGCCGUGCUUGAGGACUGGAGAGGAGACUGGAAUUUACGGUGUAGCGGUGAAAUGCGUAGAUAUCGUAAGGAAGACCAGUGGCGAAGGCGGGUCUCUGGACAGUUCCUGACGCUGAGGCACGAAGGUCAGGGGAGCAAACGGG
rnacentral:rRNA from 1 species